GAUGAACGCUGGCGGCGUGCCUAAUACAUGCAAGUCGAGCGAACAGACGAGGAGCUUGCUCCUCUGACGUUAGCGGCGGACGGGUGAGUAAUACGUGGAUAACCUACCUAUAAGACUGGGAUAACUUCGGGAAACCGGAGCUAAUACCGGAUAAUAUAUUGAACCGCAUGGUUCAAUAGUGAAAGACGGUUUUGCUGUCACUUAUAGAUGGAUCCGCGCCGCAUUAGCUAGUUGGUAAGGUAACGGCUUACCAAGGCAACGAUGCGUAGCCGACCUGAGAGGGUGAUCGGCCACACUGGAACUGAGACACGGUCCAGACUCCAACGGGAGGCAGCAGUAGGGAAUCUUCCGCAAUGGGCGAAAGCCUGACGGAGCAACGCCGCGGGGGUGAUGAAGGUCUUCGGAUCGUAAAACUCUGUUAUUAGGGAAGAACAAAUGUGUAAGUAACUAUGCACGUCUUGACGGUACCUAAUCAGAAAGCCACGGCGAACUACGU
rnacentral:rRNA from 1 species